UUGGACAAUGGAGGCAACUCUGAUCCAGCCAUGCCGCGUGAAGGAAUAAGGCCCUAUGGGUUGUAAACUUCUUUUAGACGGGACAAAACCCCUUUACGUGUAAAGGGUUGAUGGUACUGUCAGAAUAAGCAUCGGCUAACUUCGUGCCAGCAGCCGCGGUAAUACGAAGGAUGCAAGCGUUAUCCGCAAUUAUUGGGUUUAAAGGGUGCGUAGGCGGACUAAUAAGUCAGUGGUGAAAGCCUGCAGCUUAACUGCAGAAUUGCCAUUGAUACUGUUAGUCUUGAGUACAGUUGAGGUAGGCGGAAUGUGUCAUGUAGCGGUGAAAUGCUUAGAUAUGACACAGAACACCGAUUGCGAAGGCAGCUUGCUAAGCUGUAACUGACGCUGAGGCACGAAAGCGUGGGGAGCAAACA
rnacentral:rRNA from 1 species